GGCGUUUCUCACGGGGUGGGUAGGGAGGGCUUCGAAGCAGCCUGUGAAGUGUGGGCAGCUUGAAACACACGAGGCAGCAAAUCCGAACAGGCAAAGGCCUCACUCUCCAGUGCAGUCUGGGAGGACUGAUCAGGGAAGAACAGAUCAGGGUGAAGAACAGAAAGGUGAGCUCUGAUCCUGGAACUUCUUCCCUGCGCUCUGCCAGCUCCCACCUCGCCACCACCCUGGGUUCUGGAACCACGCCAAGCAGGGCAGAAACCGAAGUGCUUUUGGAAGUCCACAGGGAUUCCCACACCCACCACAGCCCAAUUUCAUCUGCCCACAGUUGCUCCCUGAACUCAGUGGCUCUGCCGCAGCAGGGAGAUGGUCUGAAGGACAGGCGUGGGGGCAGAAGAAGACCCCAAGGCAUCUCCCCAAGAUGACCACAGUUGUCCCUGAAGAAGCAGUCACAGCAAGCUCACUUCACAGGAACCAAGCUGUGGGCUGAUCCUACAGACUUGAAAAGACAACUCAAAAAGGUUGGCUGUGAUAGGUGUCCCUGGCCACGUCAGUGGAGCACCCAGGCCUCAAGCAGCAUGCUGGGGAAGGGAAAACCCCCCAUUCUGGUGAUGGAGGUGGCCAUGACCAUGUCUGGUUUUCAAAGGCAGCUUUGUAAGAACAGAAACCAGCAGCUCCCCAACAUCUGGCCCUAUCUGCUGUGCAAACCACAGGGACCAGGACCUUUCCGGGGUGCCAGUGGCAUCCUCUGGAACCAGCUUCUCAGUGGAAUUUCAGAUGCUAUUCCUGGUCAAUUGCCUUUGCUAUGUGCUAUCCUUUAAUAAAUUCUGUUUCUCCUCAUAUCCACCUGAGUCAUUCUCUGUAACCUGCAAAUAAGAACUCUGCCUGGUAGAUGACCCUAGGCUCUGCCACUUGUCAGUUGUCCAGAGUCACACAGCUGGUGAGUGGGUAAGCCCAACUCCCUGGACUGCCCCACCUGCCCCACUGUCUACCCGAGGAGUCCUGGAUGAAGCUGGUGAGUGCCACGCUGCCAGGUGUGGCAGCCAGAACAGGGAUCUUGGAGUGAGUAGGCCAAAGGGUGAGUAAACUCUAAAUGGGCUGAGAGCAAAAAGCAUGUUUUUGGGGGGAAGAGAUGUUCUACCAAGCCUGACUCUUUGGGCAAGGAGAGCUAGGAAUGGUUUCAGGGCCAGGGACCCCAGCCUCUGGCUCUGAGCUGACAGCAAUAAGGAUCCCAAAAAAUGAGCACUUAGCAGCAAUUAAUUGCUAAGAUGCAAAGAAAAAUUGUUUUGAAUAUUAAAAUUAUAGCUAUAACACUAUUAGGAGCGUGAUUCAGAGUUUAUGGAAACAUUAUUUAUAUUGAUUUAUUCCCAGAGCCAUCAAGACUCCUUGAAAAUAAUUAAUGUUGACAUUUCCAUUGCUGAAGCUAAAUGUUGAUAUCAUAUAAUGAAAAUUAUAUGCUUGGGAUGGGCUGUGCUCUAGAAAGCAUUAAAACAAAUACCAACAUCUACAGAUCCCUCCCUACCCCCAUUACUAAUGACCCAGUAACCAAUGGGCAGGGCUCUGAGGCUCUUCACCUACAGGCCUCUAGCCCAGCAUAGCCAUCAGCCCAUCUGAGGACUCUCAGAAGCAAGGGCCAGCACCCCAGGGUAAGCAUGGGGCUCAUCCAGGGCCAUGAGCCAGGAGGUGGGCCAGGAUCUAGACAGGAAGCCCCUUUGGCCAGAUCCUGGUAGUGACUGAGCCACUGAAUUGCUGCUGGCCUCAAGAACUGAGGGAAGGAGAAGGACAAGAGGAGGUGAGGGGAGUGAUUUGGCUGUGACUCACUCAAAAUCUCAUCUUGAAUUGUAAUAAUCCCCACAUGUCAAGGGCGGGACCAGGUGGAGAUAAUUGGAUCAUGGGGGCAGUUUCCCCCAUGCUGUUCUUGUGAUAGUGAGUUCUCACAAGAUGUGAUGGUUUUAUAAGGGGCUUCCCCCUUCCCUCACUCUCAUUCUCUUUCCUGCCGCCAUGUGAAGAAGGACGUGUUUGCUUCCCUUUCUGCCAUGUUUGUAAGUUUCCUGAGGCUUUGCCAGCCAUGCAAAACUGUGAGUCAAUUAAACCUCUUUUCUUUAUAAAUUACUCAGUCUCAGAUAUGUCUUUAUUAGCACCGUGAGAACAGACUAAUACAAGGAGUGAGGAAGAGAGGAAGAAUGAAGGGAGUGAGGUCCUCCUCCAUGCUUUGGGAAAUUCCCUACAAUGUGCCUACAAAGCUGUGACCCUCAGGCUGGCAGCAGAAUGCCAGUCUCCCCUUUUCUUGGGGCAGCCCAUGGCCAAUCAAGUCUUCAUGGGCUGAUGCCUUUAUAAGAGCUAGUCG
rnacentral:lncRNA from 1 species